GCUGGCCUUUGGUUCCCAGUCCUCUCCGAGCGGGGUCUCCUGCGGGUGGGUGGCUAUGGGGGCGAACACGAAGGCCCCAGGACCCGUUGGUGCGCGGGCCCGGAGUUUUACGGCUUGCUCCGCCCAGGUCUCGCGAGAGCGCAGGCGUACGUCUCGCGAUACGCGGGCGUAAAAGAGGGAGAUCUGAGCAGCGGCGACGGCGGCACGGAGGCUGAGGCGUCUAGAAGGGAAGUGGCCAUGGAAGACCUGGGGGAGAAUACCACCGUCCUGUCCACCCUGAGGUCUUUGAACAACUUCAUUUCUCAGCGAGUGGAGGGAGGAUCUGGACUGGAUGUUUCCACCUCUGCCCAAGGUUCUCUGCAGAUGCAGUACCAACAGAGCAUGCAGCUGGAGGAGCGAGCAGAGCAGAUCCGUUCCAGGUCCCACCUCAUCCAGGUGGAGCGGGAGAAGACGCAGAUGGAGCUGAGUCACAAGAGGGCCCGCGUGGAACUGGAGCGGGCAGCCAGCGCCAGUGCCAGGAGCUAUGAGCGCGAGGUGGACCGCAACCAGGAGCUCCUGACGCGCAUUCGGCAGCUGCAGGAGCGGGAAGCCGAGGCGGAGGGGAAGAUGAAGGAGCAGCUGCAGCGCUACAGGGUGUGCCAGCAGAGCCUGGAUGCGGCCAGCAAGAGGCUGCGGGACCAGGAGGACGGCCUGGCCGAAGCCGGCGAGACCGUCAGUGUGCUGAAGGGGAGGCUCUCGGACCUGCAGUGGAGCGUGAUGAACCAGGAGAUGCAGGUGAAACGCCUGGAGUCUGAGAGGCAGGAGCUGAAGGAGCAGCUGGAGCUGCAGCACAGGAAAUGGCAGGAAGCUAACCAGAAGGUUCAGGAGCUCCAGGCCAGCCAAGAAGCACGGGUGGACCAAGAGCAGAGGAUUAAGGAUUUGGAGCAGAAGCUGACCCUGCAGGAGCAGGACGCUGCAAUCGUGAAGAAUAUGAGGUCUGAGCUGGCGCGGCUGCCCACGGUGGAGAGGGAGCUGCGGCAGCUGCGGGAGGAGAACGCCUGCCUGCGGGAGAUGCGGGACACCAACGGGCUGCUCCGGGAGGAGCUGGAGGGGCUGCAGCGGAGGCUGGGGCGGCAGGAGAAGAUGCAGGAAACCCUGGUCGACCUGGAGCUGGAGAAGGAGAGGCUGCUGACGAAACUGCAGAGCUGGGAGAGGCUGGACCAGACCACGGGCUUGAGCAUCAGGACCCCAGAGGACUUGUCCAGGUUCAUCGUGGAGCUGCAGCAGCGCGAGCUCACCCUCAAGGACAGGAACAGCUCCAUCACCAGCAGUGCCCGGGGGCUGGAGAAGGCCAGGCUGCAGCUCCAGGAGGAGGUCCGCCAGCUCAGCAGCCAGCUGCUGGAGGAGAGGAAGAAGCGGGAGAUGCACGAGGCCCUGGCCCGGCGGCUGCAGAAGCGCGUCCUGCUGCUGACGAAGGAGCGGGACGGCAUGCGCGCCAUCCUGGGGUCCUACGACAGUGAGCUGACCCCGGCCGAGUACUCGCCCCAACUGACCCGCCGCAUGCGCGAGGCCGAGGACAUGGUGCAGAAGGUGCACGCGCACAGCUCGGAGAUGGAGGCUCAGCUGUCACAGGCCCUGGAGGAGCUGGGAGGCCAGAAACAAAGAGCCGACAUGCUGGAGAUGGAGCUGAAGAUGCUGAAGGCCCAGGCGGGCCCGGCCGAGCAGAGCUUCCUGUUCUCCAGGGAGGAGGUGAGCUCGCUCAGGUUGAAGGUUGAGGAGCUAGAGGGGGAGCGGAGCCGUCUGGAGGAAGAGAAGAAGGUGCUGGAGACGCAGCUGGAGCGGCUCACCCUGCAGGGGGACUACGACCAGAGCAGAGCCAAGGUGCUGCACCUGAGCCUGAACCCAGCCGGCGCGGCGAGGCAGCGGCUCCACGAGGACCGGCAGCGGCUGCGUGAGGAGUGCGCGCGGCUGCGGGAGCUGGUCCAUGCCCUGGAGGCCGGCGGCGCCGUCCCCCCCGACCUGGAGGCCGCCGCGGGGCUGCCCUCGUCCGGGGCGGUGGCAGAUCGCUUCUGUGCAAGGUGACAAGCUGCUCGCGCGAGUGAGCAGUUAAUCACAGAGAUCUCCGUCUGAACGCCGGCACCGUGCUUUCCAGGGCGGCCGUCUGCCAGGAGGCCUGGUGGUGGGCACGCGCUGCUCAUCUGCAUGUAAUUCCAGGGCUAGCGUCUCCUCUCUCGUGUGAAACGUGCAAUUUCCGGCCCAGCGGGGAACACGGGCUCACGAUGGAGAGCCUCUUCUGGGCCGUCUGGCUGCAGGCAGUUCAAACACAGCCGUCCCCUCUGGCGGCAGGAGGCUCUGGCCAGCGGAUGUCAGGGUCCUGGGCCCCUGUCACUGAAGCUGGCUGCGGGGGACAAUGGUGCCCCGCUGUGCCCUUUCUUGGAAAGGCCUCCUUGCUGAGCGCUGUGCGGGGAGGGGAGCCGGGGACCACGGAGCUGCCCGGCCGGCUGGCCCUGGGCCCCUCGGCGCCUGCCAACCACACAGGCUCCUCUCCUCCCCCCUCCUCUCCCGGAAUAUGGAUCUGGGACGGGAGGCGGCGUCCAGGAGGAUGGGCAGGAGGCUCGUGCCACGUCGGGCGGCAGCCCAGCUCUGCUGUGAAGGUGGCCCACCAUCUCCUCCCUCUAGGUGGCCAGCCGGGCCAGGGCCCUCACCCAGUCACAGUCCCACAGUGCUGGCUCCCACGGUGGCUAAUAAAAUUGCAUCAGUAUUUGAUGCCUAAUUGUUAAGUACUUAAAAAUGUAGAAUUGAAAUAGUUUAGAAGUUACCAGGCGUGGAUAAUUCGGCCCCGGCAGCGUGGCCCCGCUCUGGGCCUCAGCAGAACCAGCACUGGUUACUGCCUGCUGGGAGGCCGGGGCUGCCUCCCGAGGGGCCUGCCGGGGGGCCGGCUCCUCCCCGGGGAAGCGAGUGGCCAAGGGCGCCUGAGGCAGCACCAGUGGACGGGCCGCGUGGCUCAGCACAGCGCCUCUUUAUCCAGGUCAGCCUGGGCUCCGUGAGAGGGGUCUGCGUCGCCCCGACACUAGUGGGGGUGCUCCCCUCCUGGGGUAGGGCCCCUCCCUGGCCUCUGUUUGCCUGCAGGGACUGACUCCCAAGCACCCCGCUGCUACGUGGGGACACGUUUUGCCCGCCCCCCCUCGCAGCCUUCUCCCACCCCAGCACCCCACGUCCAGCAGCUGUGGGAUCCCGCGCGGCCUCGCUGUCCAGCCCCUGGCUCGGCUCCGCCUGCGUGCCCGUGGUCGCUGCUCUUUCCCCCUCAGCGCCAGCGCCAGCAGCUUGAGGCCCAGCUCGGGACCUGGUCCCACACCCACCAUCCUCCAGGGCCCAGAGCUCACCCAGGAACCUGGCCGCACCCCUGCCUUCUCAGUAUUCCCACAGCCAGUCUCCAGUUGGGACCCAGCGUUGACCUCAGGAAGACCCGAGGCCCAUGGGCCCAGAGUCACCAGCUGGCUCACCUUUGGCAAGGUUGUUGAUGUGCUGUUGGCUGCCAGGGUCCCAGGAGAGCAGCAGGGCCGUGGCCUCGGCGCCAAGGUCCAGCAGAGGCAGCAGGAAGCACUGGUCCCAGGGGCGGGCCAGCCUCGGUGUCCCAUCACGGCAGCAGUCACUCAUCCAGCUUCCUCGUGGACGUGCUGAGGAAACGGGGGCCGCGGAGAACGGGCUUGGUGAGCGUCCGGGAGAUGGGCUGCCAUCACUCCCACCGCGGCUGCCCCUGCCGUGCACCGAAGACCCCUUCAGGCUGCGGAGACGGGGUGUGCGUGAACACAGGAGCCAGGGUGCCCAGAGAGCAGAGGGCGGGGGGUCAGAGGCACCCCGACCGCCUUCAUGGCCUGGAGCAGAGCCGGGAGCUGGUGGUCCUGGCUCUUGGACGAGCGGACAGCACGCCCCCCGCCAGGCGCCCUGGCCCGCCCCACAGCCUUCCCGCCGGCCGGUCCCAGAGUCCUUCCUCUUGUCCUCAGGCUGGUGUCCUGGGAGCGGACCCACAUGCGCCACGUUGAGAAGCAGCCGCCGGCUCAGCCUGGGCUCAGGGCUGCUCUUCCUAACGGGGAUGCGUUCGUCCUUUUAUCGUUUUCUUUAAAAGAACCUGAAAAUCUCAGCAUUGCCUAAGUGUUUUUUAUUCACUUUUCAGAAAGAUAAACGACUCUGUCCCGAGUCCCCAGAAGACAACUUCAGAAGCUCCUAUAGCCCCUGAUUUCCAGCCUCCUACACAGCAUCACUGCAAGAGCCCAGCCUAGACGGGCAGCGCGCAGGGCCUGGUCCUCAGCCCGCACAAGGCUCAGUUCCCUGUGCCCGUGGCCUGGGCUGGUCCAGCUCCCCCGCUGUGGCAUCUGCCCACCACUGGGGGUCCAUUUAUGGACGCAUCCGGGGAGGCCGGGGGGGGGGGUCCAGUCUCAGCAGCAGCCACUCGGUGACGGUGGGGCCCCCAGGCUGCCUUGGGCUUUCGUCACUCAUCGCAGGGACGAAAGCCCUUUUGGAGCCCCUGUGGUCACCACGUGGCUUUGUCGUGACCGUGGUCAGCCACGGCGAGAACAGGCGUGGGCGGGAGGGGCGGAGGGAGGACACCUGCCUUCCGCCUUGCUGCUGACCUGGGUCGCGAGGAAGCUGACACUGCGGUGGCCUUCCCUCCCUGGCCACCGAGGGGCUGGGAAGGUCCUUUUCAUGGUAGUAAAAAGCCAGGUGCUGACUGUGGACUUGGAGUGGGGCAGACGCGGCCCCGCCUGCUCCCCCAGGCCUCGUACCCUGUGUCUGAACGCUGUGUGCACGUGACUCUCGGGUCCUCAGGUGGGCGAGGCGCUAGCUCUCCUGUGCACGUGAGCGUGCACGGCCAUACACGUGGACGCGCACACACGCGUGUCCCUGCCUCACUGCACCCUGUGUGGCUGUCUCGCCUUUGGUUAAAUCACUGUUCAGCACUUGGGAUCCUCUGACCUUGUAUGUGUUUCUUACGGCUGGAACGGGUGGCGUCUCGUUCCAUGGGCCACAUCUCCCAUCCGGGGCAGGUGUCGUUUUGUCGUUCUGUCCACGACUUGCUGUCCACCUCAUUCUCUCGGUCCUGGUUCUCCCCUUGACGUGUCUGAUGCCUCUGGAACCCCCGGCCGAGCCACUCGCUUCCUGGUGCUCAGAACACAGCGGGCCGCCCAUCAGCUAGCUGAAGAAGCAGGUGGAGAGCGCGGAGCUGAAGAACCAGAGGCUGAAGGAGGUCUUCCAGACCAAGAUCCAGGAGUUCCGGAAGGUGUGCUACACACUGACGGGCUACCAG